rnacentral:pre_miRNA from 1 species
CUGGUUCCAUAUGGUGGUUUAGAUUUAACUGAGCUGUGUCUAGCACCAUUUGAAAUCAGUGU